CAGGUUUUGCAAAAGAGAAGAUUUAUUUGCAGAGCUGCCAAGUAAGGAUGUAGGAGAACAGCUCUCAAAUCUGCCUCCCCCAAAGUUUUCCACCAAUAUAUACAUCCCUAAACAGCAUGACUCAGUUUUGAAAAACUGAACAGCAAGCAGCAAUCUAGAAGAAUAAGGAAAGAGUGAUGUUACCACUGUUUGAGGAAGGCUCAGGAGAAGAUAAACUGAACAGCCUCUCGGUCAUUGUCUGGCUUCAGCUUCCCUAAGCAUUUAUAAGAGCCUUUUAUGGGAAAAUCAUUGAGUCAGAUGAAGAGGUCAAGGCAGAACAUUUCUAGACAACACCCACAGCAGAUCAAGUAUCAGAGCAUUGGAGGAAUGAGCAGGAACUUUAUCCGCAUGUGGUCAAAAUAAGGUGAGUACAGAGGAAAAAUCUGGGCCAGACUCUGGGUAUGGAGUCCUUGAUUUAAAAGUUAGCGUGAUGGCAGUGGGGACGGUGGUGAUGGAAGCCCUCAGUGUGUCUCUCCUUGGAGUCCUGGUGUCCCGCUUCUUCAGGCUGGACGUGUUUCCUUCUGCACCUAGUUCAUAACUGUCAUUCUGGACUCUCCCGUCACCCUUACCCUAGAGUCCCUUCACCACUCUCCUGUGUUAGAUUCCGUUGUGCCCCAUGUGUUCCUUCUUGGCUUGUCCUCUCAUUCAAGAAGCACAGCCUCCAGUAGCCCCUUAAGAAAGAAUGCAUGUGAAGUAAAUCUUGCAUAUCUGAAAAUGCCCUUAUUUUACACUCAUAUUUGGUUGAUAAUUUAGCUGGGUACAGAAUUCUAGGCUGGGAAUAGUUUUUCUUAAGAAUUUUGAAAAGCACUGCUCUGGUGUCUCUUGCCUCUACCAUUGUUUAUUGAAGCCGGCAAAACCAAAGCUGAUUCCCGAUCCUUUAUAUUUGAUCUUCAUAUGUACCCUCUCCCUUGCUCUCUAAGCUUUUACAAUCUCUUGGACUCUGUGUUCUGAAAUUCCAUGAUAAUGUGUCUCGACAGGUCUUUUUUCAUCCAUUUCUCUGGGCACUUGAAGAACUCUUUCAAUCUGGAAACUCAUGUCCUUCAUGAGUUUUGAGUAAACUUUUCUGUAUGGUUUUAUUGAUGACUGCCUCUCCUACAUGUUCUUUUUCUCUCUUGAACACAUAUUAUUCAGAUAUUGAACACGCCAGUCUUAAUCUCUAAUCUUCUUUAUCUUUGCUUUCCUAUUUUUCAUCUCUGUGUCUUCUUGGGCGAUUUCCUCAAGUUUAUCUUCCAACUCUUCUGUUACAUUUUUCAGGUCCACUCUUUGCUUUAAUUUUUAAAGGCCCUUUUUUCUUCUCUUAAAAUGUAUCGACUGGGUGCAG